rnacentral:rRNA from 1 species
GGAAUAUUGCACAAUGGGCGCAAGCCUGAUGCAGCAACGCCGCGUGAGGGACGAAGGCCUUCGGGCUGUAAACCUCUUUUAGUAGGGAAGAAGCGACUGGGUUUUCCUGGGAGUGACGGUACCUGCAGAAAAAGCACCGGCUAACUACGUGCCAGCAGCCGCGGUAAUACGUAGGGUGCAAGCGUUGUCCGGAAUUAUUGGGCGUAAAGAGCUCGUAGGCGGUUCGUCGCGUCUGCUGUGAAAACCCGAGGCUCAACCUCGGGCCUGCAGUGGGUACGGGCAGACUAGAGUGCGGUAGGGGAGAUUGGAAUUCCUGGUGUAGCGGUGGAAUGCGCAGAUAUCAGGAGGAACACCAAUGGCGAAGGCAGAUCUCUGGGCCGUAACUGACGCUGAGGAGCGAAAGCAUGGGGAGCGAACAGGAUUAGAUACCCUGGUAGUCCAUGCCGUAAACGUUGGGAACUAGAUGUGGGGACCAUUCCACGGUCUCCGUGUCGCAGCUAACGCAUUAAGUUCCCCGCCUGGGGAGUACGGCCGCAAGGCUAAAACUCAAAGGAAUUGACGGGGGCCCGCACAAGCGGCGGAGCAUGCGGAUUAAUUCGAUGCAACGCGAAGAACCUUACCAAGGCUUGACAUAUACCGGAAACGGCUGGAAACAGUCGCCCCGCAAGGUCGGUAUACAGGUGGUGCAUGGUUGUCGUCAGCUCGUGUCGUGAGAUGUUGGGUUAAGUCCCGCAACGAGCGCAACCCUCGUCCUAUGUUGCCAGCACGUAAUGGUGGGAACUCAUGGGAUACUGCCGGGGUCAACUCGGAGGAAGGUGGGGAUGACG